GCCAGGCAUGGAAGUGCAUGCCUGUAAUCCAAGCUACUUGGGAGGCAGAGGCAGAAGAAUCGCUUGAACCUGGGAGAUAGAGGUUGCAGUGAGCCGAGAUCACGCCACUGCACUCCAGCCUGGGUGACAGAGUGAGACUCAGUCUCAC
rnacentral:sRNA from 1 species